UGCCCGUUCGUCUAAUUGGUAGGACGCCGGAGUUUGGUUCCGGAAAUCCUCGUUCGAAUCGAGGACGGGCAACCA
rnacentral:tRNA from 1 species